GAUGAACGCUGGCGGCGUGCCUAAUACAUGCAAGUAGAACGCUGAAGGAGGAGUUUGCCCUUCUGGAAGAGUUGCGCACGGGUGAGUAACGCGUAGGUAACCUGCCUGGUAGCGGGGGACAACUAUUGGAAACGAUAGCUACUACCGCAUGACAACAGUUAUUGCAUGAUAACUGUCUAAAAGGGGCAACUGCGCUACUACCAGAUGGACCUGCGUUGUAUUAGGUAGGUGGUGGGGUAACGGCUCACCAAGGCGACGAUACAUAGCCGACCUGGAGGGGUGGUCGACCCACCUGGGACUGGGGCACGGGCCAGGCUUCUUCGGGGAGGAGCAGUAGGGGAACUUCGGCAAUUGGCGGAAGGCUGACCGAACAACGCCGCGUGGGUGGAGAAAGGUUUCGGAUCGUAAAGCUCUGUUGUGAGGGAAGAACGGGUGGGAGGGUGGAAAGUUCACGCUGUGACGGUAUCUUACCAGAAAGGGACGGCUAACUACGUG
rnacentral:rRNA from 1 species